AGGUGGAUCAGUGGAUACCCUGCUGCGGCUUAAAUCGCUUACGUCAAUGCGAGAAGUAUUGUCCUUCAGAGGUGGAGUGUAAUCUUUCCCAGUUACCAAGUUGUCCAUAUUGGGGUUCAUGGAGAAUUUGACUUCCCAAGUGCUGGGUCUUGUUUCUGAGUUGCACCAGGAUGAUGUUGUUGGAUCAUCUAGUGAAGUUGGUAUUUCAGAUACGCCUCCAGUCAUGUUUCGCAUAUGUGUUGUAGUUAAAUUUGCAAUUCCUGCAGAAUAUCUUUUUUCUGUGGUAGAUUCUUCGUCAACGACCCUAAAGCAUAACUAAAAAAUAUGUCUCUCUCCCUGUUCGAGUUCUCACCUUUUGGAGCUGGGUAAUAACUACACCAUUGGAGCUGGUCAAUAUCUACACCAUUAGUGUUCGACCCUUUUGACCAUGGCCUUCCCUUCUUUUUCUAGUCUUGGAGCUGGUCAUUAUCCUUGAACCCAUCAAUGAUGUUGCACAGUUAGUAGACGUAUUAGGUUGCGGAAGCAGUAGGAAGAAUAUCGGGCACUUAUUUGGGUUGCAGGUAUGGUAGGUUUAUGUGCAUAAUUGGAGCUAUAGGUCACGUACAGGAAGAUUGUUCUUGUGUUCAUCUUGAGUUGGUAAUAACUUCCUGUGUUUGUUUUUAGUUAGAGUGAAUUUACUUUGAUAUAUGGAGUGGUAAUGUGUUAUGAAAAAUUUACACUUGCUACUAUAGGAACUAGGUAGGUAUACAAAAAGGAAAAGGCAUAAUGAUGAGCAGGGUAUGCUCCAUACAUGAUUAUUUAAGUUAGCUUAUCGAACAUAGGUAAUUGCCUUUUAAUAGCUAACUGUUUUAUGAAAAGGGUGUGAGGAUGGUGAAGCUUGGACCACUAUAUCUAGAGGUUUUUAAGGUAUAGAUGAGCUUAGCUGAUAGUAAUUGGUAAACUUUAAUUACAUUCGAUUUGUUGAUUAUUUUUUAGGAUAAUUACUUGACUGUUGGUGGGGCAGUGAAAGCAAAGGGUGAAGUAUUGAAACAUUUUUCUAGGGGUAGCUGUAAGGUAUUUGUUGAGAUUUGGUAAAGUUAUUGAACAUACUGAAAUGCCCUAUAGAUUUUUGAUGUCACACUUUGUGCAGGCACCAAAUUUGACAUGCCAUAUAGAGUCAUUUGGUAGAAUUUGCCAAAAGUUUGAUGUAAGACGUAAGAGAUGGGUAUCUGAAAUGGGAUUUGGGGGCCUAUUGCAUCUUGCUUCGUUAGGCAUGCAAUUGCCAAGGCAAUUAGCCUACUGGUUGCUGACUCGUAUUGAUCCUGUUAGUAAGAUUCUAAUAUCUCCAGAUGGGGAAGAAUUUAGUUUGUCUGCAAAUCAAGUGUAUUGGGUGCUUGGAAUCCCAAAUGGUGGGAAGACAGUUCCGACAAAGAAAAACAUGACCCCUGAAUUGAAAGACAAGGUUGAAGCAUUAUUAAGAAAAUAUUGCUAAUCAUGGAAAACCAGGUGCAGUAGAUAUGAAGAUCGGGUGUACAUUACUAAGGGUAUAUCUGUCAAUUCUAGUUUGAUGGAAAGAAUUGAGGGUGAAUGGUUAGCUGAUGAGGAAGUCGAAUUCAAGACUUUAUUCCUCUUAUUGUCUUUGUACAUGGUGCUAUGCCCAACAUAAUCCCCAAGACUGUCGGCGGAUCUUGUUCCAGCGUUAACUUGUGCCCAGGAGUGCCUGGAUUAUGACUAGUGCGGGUUGGCUGUGGCAAAGUUGUUAGGUAGUGUAUCAACAUUUGCUCGGCAGUUUUAUGCCAACGGUUUUGCUGGAGGAUCUGGAGGGUGCUUCUUAUUUUUUGUAGUAAGAGGUUUAAUUGUUUGAAGCUGGUUAUAACUUAUACUGUUUAGUGUUCAAAAUUCUUUUAAUGAAUAUAAAUUGUACAUUUUAUUAGGUUAUGUACUUGGACCGGCUGAAUAAGGUGUCGUCACGUUGGGGUGUAUUUCCUAGGCUGAAGGUCUGGAAUAUACAAGAGAUUAGUUGUGUUGCUAGGCUUGAUCAUCACUCUAUAACUGGGGUCUUUGGCAAGCUCGGGAUGAUAGAUGUUGCGUAUAGAGAGAAUUAUCCUAAGGAGGCUAGAGAUAGUAGUGGUCCGAGUUUGAUAGGCUGUCAGGAUAACGAGGAGACAUAUUACAUAAUUCAAGCCCCGAAGCUAAGGCGGAUCAGAGGCGUGGGAAUCCCUUGUUUUGUCAGCAAUCAUGUAUGUGCAGAAUCAGAUGUCACAAGCUACGAAACUAUCGCUAGCAAAACAAUUUUGGUGAUCUAGUCUUAUAUACAAUCAAUUUAUAAAUGGUGGGUAGAGAAACAUUUGUCAGACUAGCAUUAAGUGUAACCAUUUAUAUGAAGCGGCUGUUGUUUAGGGUAAAAGUUACCCUGGACACGUGGACCUAUGGGGAUCUGACACGUGUCAUCCCCCAUUGCACCAUGGGCAUCCAACCACUGGAUGCCACGUGGCAUCGUACCCCCUAUGGGGGAGCAUACCCAUCUGCUAUAAAUAGAGGAAUCUACCUCAUUUAUUGAUAUUCAGAAAAUAUACACAAAAA